rnacentral:rRNA from 1 species
AAAGCGAAUAAGGGCGCAU